UUUUUUUUUUUUCUGACAUCUCCUUUUAUUAUUAUAAAUGUAUUUUAUUUCAUUGGGAAAAUGCUCUCCUGUUUUGCUUUAUAUAUUUGCUAUUGCUGGGUAGUUUCUGGAGACUGUGCAAAUUUCUGUGUUGAGCCCAAAUUACCAGCACUUUCCGUGAUCCCCCUCAGCCACGCAGGCUCUCUCACCAGCAUGCUCUCCCUUACUCCUCCAACAUUUCCUCAAUAGACCUUGCAAUCUGCUAUGGCCAAAGACUGGGAGUGGUGAUUUCGAUUUGACGAAUUGAGCUUACAAAUCUACUAACUGCACACAGGCAGCUCUGCGCUGUGCUUGAGAAUAUUUACCAGCGCUGCACUCCCGCUCCCCGGCCGCCAUUUUGCUCCGUCCCUGUCACUCUAUGUGUACCCGAUGCUGUCGGCACUCAGGUUCUAACUGUUGUCACCUUUCCCACAUGUGCAUUACUCGCUGCAUUGACUCUCCUCCAUCCCAUCUCUCCACCUCUGCUUCUGUGGUGCAUCUACACCCAGCCUCCUAAAAAGGCUCUGGAUUAUGUUCAAGAUCAUUCUUCCGGUGUGUCCAACGAGGUAAAGACAAAUUCUUCUCUCCUUUCCAGGCUCCCCCCUUGUUACUGUCAACCUGACCAUCUGUGUUGUUAUAGUUCACUGUGCUGUUCCAACUGGUUUUGAAAACACUCUUUGUAUCACUGUGUUGCAUGUAGUAGCAUUAUCUAGGCAGAACAAAGGGGUUGGCUAUUUCUGAAUUCUAGGUGAUAAAUCUUCCAACUGUUGCUUUGAGUUAAAACACUCAGCAGAAUGAAAAUUAAAAAAAAUAAUUUUGGCAAUAUAUUAACUACCCAUUUUAUAUAUUAACUACUAAUUCCUCUAAACCAAGCAAAGUACUACUACAGGACCACUUUUUCAUUGUGCUUAGAGAUUAGAUUCUUGGAGAUGGCUCAUUAGGUUAAAGUAUUCAUUGUGAAAACCCAAUGGCCUGACUACCAUUUUUGCAACCUACCCACUGUGGAUGAAAAGCAUCCCUCACAUGUUGUGGCAAGUGUGUUAUAUACAGUCAGACAGUGAUAGAUAGAUAGAUAGAUAGAUAGAUAGAUAGAUAGAUAGAUAGAUAGAUAGAUAGAUAGAUAGAUCAAAGUUUAGAUUUCUCUCCAUGGUCAGAUAUUUAUUGCUUAUAUUUUCCUAAAUGUUAUUGUUGUUCCUUAGUUUUCCUAAAUGCUUGUAACUUGUGGAUUUGAACAUUGGUCAAGAAUAGAGAUGAUGGAUACCCGACGUGUGUGCUCCAGUUUCCCACUUCCACACCCUUAACGGGCAUCACUAAUCUUUCUUGGCUUUACAGUCCAGGUAGCCAUUACAGCAGAUAGGCAUCACUGCAUCCCGAGAUAAAACUUGGUUGAGAUCUCAGCGGAAGGACGCUUAUGAGUAGGGCUGGAGAGAUGACUUGGUUGUGAAGAACACUUGCUAUUCUUGCCCAAGACCUGCCUUUGUUUCCCAUCACCUAGGUGCAGCUCACAACCAUCCACAAUUCCAUUUCCAACACACUCUCAUGGCCUCCACCAGCACUAGGCACAUACAUGGUGCACAGACAUGCAUGCGGGCAAAACACUCAUGAACUAGAAAUAAGAAAAAUGUACAUGACAGUCAGCCAACCAGCCACAUGAAUUUUCACCCGGAUAAGGAAAAGACUGUAUUAAAAGUAAUAGGAAGGGUCCUAAGCCAAACUUUGCCCUCUACAAAGAAACCAGAAGAUUAUUUUGAAAAGCACUUAGAAGACAUAAGCAGAAAUGUCAUUGUCCUGCUUGCUCUCUUGGCCUGUAAAGGCCUCCCACAGGUCAGAUGCUCUCAGAAGCAGCCAAGAUAGAAGUGCAUAGAACCAACUGAUUUUGUCACAAUGGUUGCUGUGUGUUCUUCAGUGAAUGCAACAAUUAAUACCUUACUUCAUUGCAAAGCCCGUAUUCAAGCUACGCGUAAGAGAAGAGCCAAGAGCUCGUGCUAAGGGUGGUUGUCCUGAUUCAGUGGGGAGGACAGAUUGUAGGCAUGGAGUUGAAAGGAGAAAUAUUCAAAUUUCCAAAAAUUCAAACUGCAGUUAAAAUUAUAGAUCAUGUAAUAAGCAUCACGGUGUAUGUUAAAACAGAGAAGUAGCUGGGGGAAAAAAAUCAAAUAAAAAGCCAAAUCCAGUAACCAGAAACUUUGUGCAGUAUUGAGUUCAGUAAUUUUCAAGUAGUUUUGUAGCAAGGUCUACUCUCUAAAAAGAAUUAAAUCAAACAAGCCAUUCUAUUCUGUACGUUUUGUUAUCGUUUCAGCGUAUGAACAACCUAAGAAUUUAUUUUGAAAUUUAAUUUUGUCAAAAAUUAUGUUUUCCACACCAAAACUCUGUUGCUGUGUUGAAUGACUAUCAUUAGAUUUAUAAUCCAGUCGGGCAAAGGGAUAUCUUUAUCAUCUUGAGUAUAUCUUUCCUUUUUUAAGUUCAGUAUGAUGUAUUUAAAUGAAUUAGUCAGCAUUUUAUAAAAAAGAAAAACAAAUAUGUAUAUUUUUUUCCUCGGGUAUUUUUAGCAGGUGUUUCUGGAUUUUUGAAAGUAGUUGGUUCAUUGAGAACUGGAACAGGAUUUAGACAUCAUUUUUAAUUCACUGUUUGUUCGGAUUUUUAACUAAGAAAAGUGGAAUGGAAUAACUUUAAGGAAUGUAUCUACACUUGCCUCCUAAGAUGGCUGCUGAGAGAACAAGUCGCUAAUUGCUCGGCCUUCAUUUCAGAGCUAUUUCCUUUGAACCACACAUUUUGCCAUCCCCAGUAGAUGUGUUUAAAGCUCAGCAAUUCUAGAAACAAUUUUAUUUUAAUUAUUGAGUUUGUAUAAAAUGGAUUCUGGAAAUUAACACUACACAAUAUAAUUACUGAGGGCAGAGAUGGGGAAAACUUAACAAAGCACUUUCUAUGUUAAGGUAGGAGCCAGAACACGACAUUAAUAAAAAGCAGUUUAAAAGCAGUUAAGAUAUGUGUUUGUAUCUUGAGACAUAGGAGUGACUUUAAUAGCAUGUUAACUAGGGUGCUAACUUAAGAACGUAGCCUUCCAGAGUGUAAGAAGAAAGACACCCAUAGGUAUUUAGAAUAUGUAUUUUUAAAUAUUUGUAUGAGAUUGCUAUCAAAAAGUGUAAAUUACUAGGUAAUACCUAAGCUAUAAUUUAUCAAGUACCUGAUUUUAUCAAAUUUAUACUAUGAAUGACAUUUUUAAAUCAAAUGUAACUGAGACAUUUGUUUGCAAAUAUCAGAAUGAAACCCAUAUGUUGCUAAUUUGAAACACUUCUUAAAGAUGAGUUAAGAACAUGUUUGCAGAAUGUAAUCAAUAAUUACCUAGCAGAAAUGGUGAUUUAAUGUCUGCCAGUCCUUGAAAUGCCCUUCUAUCAUGUUAAAACAGCCAUCCUAUGCAAAUGAGGGAUAGAUGGCGUUGGGUAAAAUGGUCUAGUUCUUUUCUGGGGACUCUUUUCUUUUUCAGGUGGAGUGUUAUAAUAAUCGUACAAGGUUUCACCUUAAGUAUUAAUCUAUUUUUAUUAUUCCUUUAUAAUUGGCAACUGAACUUUCUCUCACAAUACAAAGUCAAAGCCUGGCUUUCUGAGCCCGCGAGAUGGCUCAGCUCUGACCUGACUUUAAUAUCCAGAAUCCAUAUUGUGUAAGAAGAAAAAUGAUUUCUUCAGAUUGUCUUCUGACCUCCACACACAUAGCAUAGUACACAUAUACCAUGGUUCACACACAGACACAUACACACACACAAACUGUGCUUUUAAAAAUCCUUUUAAACUGGUAUUAUCUUGUUUGCAAUAUA
rnacentral:lncRNA from 1 species